GUCCACGCCGUAAACGAUGGAUACUAGCUGUUGGGCGCAAGUUCAGUGGCUAAGCGAAAGUGAUAAGUAUCCCACCUGGGGAGUACGUUCGCAAGAAUGAAACUCAAAGGAAUUGACGGGGGCCCGCACAAGCGGUGGAGCAUGUGGUUUAAUUCGAUGAUACGCGAGGAACCUUACCAAGGCUUAAAUGUAGUCUGACAGGCGUGGAAACAAUGCUUUUCUUCGGACAGAUUACAAGGUGCUGCAUGGUUGUCGU
rnacentral:rRNA from 1 species